UACAGAGGUCUCAAGCGUUGUUCGGAUUCAUUGGGCGUAAAGGGUGCGUAGGCGGGUCUUUAAGUCGGGGGUGAAAUCCUGGAGCUCAACUCCAGAACUGCCUUUGAUACUGAGGAUCUUGAGUCCGGGAGAGGUGAGUGGAACUGCGAGUGUAGAGGUGAAAUUCGUAGAUAUUCGCAAGAACACCAGUGGCGAAGGCGGCUCACUGGCCCGGUACUGACGCUGAGGCACGAAAGCGUGGGGAGCAAACAGG
rnacentral:rRNA from 1 species